rnacentral:rRNA from 1 species
AUUGAACGCUGGCGGCAUGCUUUACACAUGCAAGUCGAACGGCAGCGCGGGCUUCGGCCUGGCGGCGAGUGGCGAACGGGUGAGUAAUGCAUCGGAACGUGCCCAGUAGUGGGGGAUAGCCCGGCGAAAGCCGGAUUAAUACCGCAUACGACCUGAGGGUGAAAGCGGGGGACCGAAAGGCCUCGCGCUAUUGGAGCGGCCGAUGUCGGAUUAGCUAGUUGGUGGGGUAAAGGCCUACCAAGGCGACGAUCCGUAGCUGGUCUGAGAGGACGACCAGCCACACUGGGACUGGGACACGGCCCAGACUCCUGCGGGAGGCAGCAGUGGGGAAUUUUGGACAGUGGGGGCAACCCUUAUCCAGCCAGGCCGCGUGCGGGAAGAAGGCCUUCGGGUUGUAAACCGCUUUUGUUCGGGAAGAAAUCCUCUGGGCUAAUACCCCGGGGGGAUGACGGUACCGGCAGAAUAAGCACCGGCUAACUACGUG